GACGAACGCUGGCGGCGUGCCUAAUACAUGCAAGUGGAACGCAUUGAUAUCACCGGAGCUUGCUCCACCGAUAUAAAUGAGUCGCGAACGGGUGAGUAACGCGUAGGUAACCUGCCUGAUAGCGGGGGAUAACUAUUGGAAACGAUAGCUAAUACCGCAUGAGAGUGUUUAACACAUGUUAGAGACUUAAAAGAUACAAUUGUAUCACUAUCAGAUGGACCUGCGUUGUAUUAGCUAGUUGGUAGGGUAGCGGCCUACCAAGGCAACGAUACAUAGCCGACCUGAGAGGGUGAUCGGCCACACUGGGACUGAGACACGGCCCAGACUCCUACGGGAGGCAGCAGUAGGGAAUCUUCGGCAAUGGACGAAAGUCUGACCGAGCAACGCCGCGUGAGUGAAGAAGGUUUUCGGAUCGUAAAGCUCUGUUGUAGCGGAAGAACGCGUGUAAGAGUGGAAAGUUACACAGUGACGUACGUACCAGAAAG
rnacentral:rRNA from 1 species